CUGAAAUCAGGUAGGGCUACCCGCUGA
rnacentral:rRNA from 1 species